UACGGCGGGUGCAAGCGUUGUUAGGAAUCAUUGGGCGUAAAGCGCGUGUAGGCGGCCAAAUAAGUCUGGUGUGAAAGCCCGGGGCUCAACCCCGGAAGUGCACUGGAUACUGUUUGGCUAGAGGACGAGAGAGGGAAGCGGAAUUCCUGGUGUAGGGGUGAAAUCCGUAGAUAUCAGGAGGAACAUCGGUGGCGAAGGCGGCUUCCUGGCUCGUUUCUGACGCUCAGACGCGAAAGCGUGGGGAGCAAACAGG
rnacentral:rRNA from 1 species